AUACGGAGGGGGCUAGCGUUGUUCGGAAUUACUGGGCGUAAAGCGCGCGUAGGCGGCUUAUCAAGUUAGGCGUGAAAGGCCUGGGCUCAACCCGGGAACUGCGCUUAAUACUGGUAGACUUGAGUCCGGGAGAGGGUGGCGGAAUUCCCAGUGUAGAGGUGAAAUUCGUAGAUAUUGGGAAGAACACCAGUGGCGAAGGCGGCCACCUGGCCCGGUUCUGACGCUGAGGUGCGAAAGCGUGGGGAGCAAACAGGAUUAGAAACCCGAGUAGUCC
rnacentral:rRNA from 1 species